rnacentral:rRNA from 1 species
GACGAACGCUGGCGGCGUGCUUAACACAUGCAAGUCGAACGGAAAGGCCCUUCGGGGUACUCGAGCGGCGAACGGGUGAGUAACACGUGGGUGAUCUGCCCUGCACCUUGGGAUUAGCCUGGGAAACUGGGUCUAAUACUGAAUAGGACCACGCGCUUCAUGGUGUGUGGUGGAAAGCUUUGGCGGUGUGGGAUGGGCCCGCGGCCUAUCAGCUUGUUGGUGGGGUAAUGGCCUACCAAGGCGACGACGGGUAGCCGGCCUGAGAGGGUGACCGGCCACACUGGGACUGAGAUACGGCCCAGACUCCUACGGGAGGCAGCAGUGGGGAAUAUUGCACAAUGGGCGCAAGCCUGAUGCAGCGACGCCGCGUGAGGGAUGACGGCCUUCGGGUUGUAAACCUCUUUCGCCAGGGACGAAGCGUAAGUGACGGUACCUGGAGAAGAAGCACCGGCCAACUACGUG